AACAAUCUUCACGGAUAAGGUGCCCCAUAACAGGGGGUAAAAGGGAAUGUCGUGCGGCGCUUACGUUAAGCGCCAAAUCGACAGCUGCUCCCGCAACUGUCAGCGGAUAGCCGACGGCCAUAAUGCCACUCUUGCAAAAGGGGAAGGCGGCCAGAGGCAGCGACCCGCAAGCCAGGAAACCUGCCUUGACCGGUCGUUUUUU
rnacentral:ncRNA from 2 species